rnacentral:rRNA from 1 species
UACGACGUAUCAGAGUUUGAUCCUGGCUCAGGAUGAACGCUGGCGGCGUGCUUAACACAUGCAAGUCGAACGGACUUUUUAAGAUUGCUUGCAAUUUUAAAAAGUUAGUGGCGGACGGGUGAGUAACGCGUGGGUAACCUGCCUCAUACAGGGGGAUAACAGUCAGAAAUGACUGCUAAUACCGCAUAAGCGCACAGUAUCGCAUGAUACAGUGUGAAAAACUCCGGUGGUAUGAGAUGGACCCGCGUUGGAUUAGCUAGUUGGUGGGGUAGAGGCCUACCAAGGCGACGAUCCAUAGCCGGCCUGAGAGGGUGACCGGCCACAUUGGGACUGAGACACGGCCCAG